rnacentral:rRNA from 2 species
GCCAAACAGCUAGCUUUAAACAUAUCAAACAAUCAACAUAUGAAUAAAAAUAACCUUAAAUAUAAAAUCAAAUCAUUUUUCCACCUUAGUAUGGGCGACAGAAAAGGUAAAAUUAAGCAAUAGAAAUAGUACCGCAAGGGAAAGCUGAAAAAGAAAUGAAAUAAAUAAUAUAAGCAACACAAAGCAGAGAUUUAACCUCGUACCUUUUGCAUCAUGAUUUAGCAAAAAACUAUCAAGCAAAACGACUUUAAGUUUGAAACCCCGAAACCAAGUGAGCUACCCCAAGGCAACCUAAACAGGGUGUACCCGUCUCUGUAGCAAAAGAGUGGGAUGAACUUUGGGUAGAGGUGAUAAACCUAUCGAACCUGGUGAUAGCUGGUUGCCUGAGAAAUGAAUAAAAGUUCAGCCUCUUUUACCUUUUACCAAAAAAAAUAAUUUAAGCAAGGAAAAAGAAAAUUAAGAGAGUUAGUUAAAGGAGGUACAGCCCCUUCAACCAUGGACACAACCAUACAGACUGGAUAAAGAUUAUAAUGUAAAAAACAAAUUAUGCCCUAGUGGGCCUAAUAGCAGCCACCUAUUUAGAAAGCGUUAAAGCUCAAGCAAACAAAAGUUUAUUAUUCUAAUAACUAAUCUAACUCCAUCACAAUCAUCAGGCUUUUUUAUACCCCUAUAAAAGAAAUUAUGCUAAAAUGAGUAACAAGAAGAAAUUGAGCUUCUCUAGGCACAAGUGUACAACAGAUUGGACAAUCCACUGAAAAUUAACGAACCCAACCACAAGAGAGAAUUAAGGUAAUCAUUAAAAACAAGAAAACCCCUUAAAUAAGAAUCGUUAACUCCACACUGAAAUGCUAACACAAGAAAGAUUAAAAUAAAAGAAAGGAACUCGGCAAACACAAGCCUCGCCUGUUUACCAAAAACAUCGCCUCUUGAAAACAUUAAUAUAAGAGGUCCAGCCUGCCCAGUGACUAUAUGUUUAACGGCCGCGGUAUUUUGACCGUGCAAAGGUAGCGCAAUCACUUGUCUUUUAAAUGAAGACCUGUAUGAAUGGCCUAACGAGGGCUUAACUGUCUCUCUUUUAUAAUCAGUGAAAUUGAUCUGCCCGUGCAGAAGCGGGCAUAAAACUACAAGACGAGAAGACCCUUUGGAGCUUUAGGUAUUUAACUAAUCACGUUAAACAACUAAAUGAAGAGCACAAACUAAAUGAAAAUAGUACUAUACCUUCGGUUGGGGCGACCACGGAGAAAAAUAUAUCCUCCAAGUGGAACGGGGAAACACCCCUAAACAUAAGAGCCACCACUCUAAGCAACAAAAACAUUUGACCAAAAAUGAUCCGAUGUUUUAAAUCGAUCAACGGACCAAGUUACCCAAGGGAUAACAGCGCAAUCCUCUCUCAGAGUCCAUAUCGACGAGAGGGUUUACGACCUCGAUGUUGGAUCAGGACAUCCUAAUGGUGUAGCCGCUAUUAAGGGUUCGUUUGUUCAACGAUUAAAGUCCUACGUGAUCUGAGUUCAGACCGGAGUAAUCCAGGUCAGUUUCUAUCUGUAAUGUGACUUUUCCCAGUACGAAAGGACCGGAAAAGAAAGGCCCCUGCCAAAAGCAAGCCUUACCCUUAAUUAGUGAAAAAAACUAAAUUAAGUAAAAGGGAACUAAACCCCUAAUCAAGAUAAGAACUU